rnacentral:misc_RNA from 1 species
UCGAAACCUGCCUAGCAGAACGACCCGCGAACGAGUUGCAAACAACACCGGAGGUGGUGCGGGUGCAUCCUCGCCUCUCGCCACCCCCGUGUCUCGGAGCGGCCAGUCUCGUCGUCCCUCUGCCCGUCGGGUGGGGUGAGAUGCCGGGAUCAACCUCUUCGAGGCAAAACGAACAAACCCCCGGCGCGAAUCGCGCCAAGGAAUCGAAACGAAAAAAGGGGCACGUCUUCUGUCGCCGCACCGUUCGCGGUGUCGGUGCUUCAGUGAUGCUGUUCUCUUGUCGCAAAAUAUAC